rnacentral:rRNA from 1 species
CCUACGGGAGGCAGCAGUGGGGAAUAUUGGACAAUGGGCGAAAGCCUGAUCCAGCCAUGCCGCGUGUGUGAAGAAGGUCUUCGGAUUGUAAAGCACUUUAAGUUGGGAGGAAGGGCAUUAACCUAAUACGUUAGUGUUUUGACGUUACCGACAGAAUAAGCACCGGCUAACUUCGUGCCAGCAGCCGCGGUAAUA